rnacentral:misc_RNA from 1 species
AAGUCGUAACAAGGUUUCCGUAGGUGAACCUGCGGAAGGAUCAUUACAGAGUUCGUGCCCUCGCGGGUAGAUCUCCCACCCUGUGCUAUCGUUACCUCUGUUGCUUUGGCGGGCCGUCAGGCUCCGGUCAGGCUACCGGCCCCCGCUGGUAAGCGCCCGCCAGAGGACCCAAAACUCUGAAUGUUAGUGUCGUCUGAGUACUAUAUAAUAGUUAAAACUUUCAACAACGGAUCUCUUGGUUCUG